ACGGAGGAUGCGAGCGUUAUCCGGAUUUAUUGGGUUUAAAGGGUGCGUAGGCGGAUUGAUAAGUCAGUGGUGAAAACCCUGCAGCUUAACUGUAGACUUGCCGUUGAUACUGUCAGUCUUGAGUAUGGUCAAGGUAGGCGGAAUGUGUAAUGUAGCGGUGAAAUGCUUAGAUAUUACACAGAACACCGAUUGCGAAGGCAGCUUACUGGGCCAUUACUGACGCUGAUGCACGAAAGCGUGGGGAUCGAACAGGAUUAGAUACCCUGGUAGUCCACGCCGUAAACGAUGAUCACUCGCUGUUAGCGAUACACAGUUAGCGGCUAAGCAAAAGCAUUAAGUGAUCCACCUGGGGAGUACGGCCGCAAGGCUGAAACUCAAAGGAAUUGACGGGGGCCCGCACAAGCGGAGGAACAUGUGGUUUAAUUCGAUGAUACGCGAGGAACCUUACCUGGGCUUAAAUGUAGAGUGCAUUCAGCUGAAAGGCUGAUUUCCUUCGGGACUCUCUGCAAGGUGCUGCAUGGUUGUCGUCAGCUCGUGCCGUGAGGUGUCGGGUUAAGUCCCAUAACGAGCGCAACCCUUAUCGUUAGUUGCCAGCGGGUAAUGCCGGGAACUCUAACGAAACUGCCGGUGUAAACCGAGAGGAAGGUGGGGAUGACGUCAAAUCAGCACGGCCCUUAUGUCCAGGGCUACACACGUGUUACAAUGGCCGGUACAGAGGGCAGCUAUGCCGCGAGGCAAUGCGAAUCUCGAAAGCCGGUCUCAGUUCGGAUCGGAGUCUGCAACUCGACUCCGUGAAGCUGGAUUCGCUAGUAAUCGCGCAUCAGCCAUGGCGCGGUGAAUACGUUCCCGGGCCUUGCACACACCGCCCGU
rnacentral:rRNA from 1 species